GCAGUAGAGACACGCCAAGCAUCUGGCUCUUCCUUCCCGAAGGCUGGUGGCCACUGUCUUGCUGGGUCUGCAGGUCUCAGGGAGAAAAUGUGCCCUGUCCCUGGAGGAGGUGGAGAGCAGGGUCCUGCUGGGAGGGCACUGUGGUCCUGGCCCCCGGGGGCUUGCAGCCAGCUAGCUCCCUGUCCCCUGCCCCAGUCCCUUGGGUGCAGGGCAUGGCCACUGGGGGGCAGUACUGGCCAGGAGACCUGGCAGGAAUCCACCAUGCUGCCCACCCAGUGGGCCCUGCCCAGGGGGACAAGAGCCUGGCGUGAGGAUGCUCCUGCCCAGCCCGUGGGCCAAGGCUCUGCUGGGGCCUGGGCUUUCCCCAGCAUCCACCUCAUGCCCCUGCCCACACAGAAGCACACACGAUAGUGAGCACACAUGUGCUCGCUCCGACCCCACACUCACACACUUCGCAACGCACUGCACACACAUGCGUGGAGGCAUCCACCUCACAUGCAUGCACGACACACAGAGAUGCUCAGCCACACUCCAGCCACGCUCGGGCCACGCUUCUGUCUGAUUCUCCCUCCCUCCGUGCAGGCCCAGGCCAACUGCCCGCCCCAUGGAUGGGGAUGGAACCCUGCCCUCUGCCUGGAGCCCGGCCCCAAGCUCCUCGUAGCCCAUGCGCUGGACCUCCCAAUGCACCCAGCCCGAGGGCCUCACAGGAGCUGCUCCAGCGUUAGCGUUAACGUUUUCUCCGACCUCUCUGCCCCCUGGAGACCGGGAUCCCACCUGCUCUUCUCCUCCUAUCUUUCCUUCCUUGCUGUCCUUGCUGCCCAUUGUACAAAUGGCAAAAUCCAAACCGAGUGGCAGAGAGGAGAGCCUACCCAGCUGGUCCUGACUGCAUCUCCCACCUCCACACAGAGGAAGCCCAAGCCCGAGGUCCUUCCUUUGCAGACUCUGGGCCAGGUGGCGUCUGCACCCGUGUCCACUUCUCCAGGUGCCAGACACACCAAGCUGGCCCCUCCUUCCACCCGCACACCGGCCCUCUCCCCAGGGAAUGGACUUCUCCACCCUCGCCUCUCCGUUCUCACCGAAGCACCAGUAUUAGUGGAUGUGAAUGGCUUUCGCGCCGACGCAGCCCACCAGACAAGAUGGGCAGCAGGAGCACACCCCCCAUCACCCUUCUUCAAGACGCCCCAUAAAAUACCAGCUGCAAUCGGAGCACCUCUUUCUCUUGAGAGUCCACACGUAUUUCUUUGUUUACUUUAGAUUCUGCCUAAUAAAUCCCUUUAUGUCUCUUCCUGAUCCAUCUAGAAAAGUCUCUUUCUUUUCUGUUUUUGUUUUUUUUUUAAAAAAAAAAACAGGGUCUCCCUAGGUAGCCCAGGCUGGUAUGGACCUCACAGUGAUCCUCCUGCCUCAGCCUCGCCAGUGCUGGG
rnacentral:lncRNA from 1 species